rnacentral:rRNA from 1 species
CGCCGGUGUGCUUAUGCAUGCAAGUCGAGCGGUAUAUCGAAAGAUAUGCAGCGGCAAACGGCUGAGUAACACGUAAGUAAUCCAUCCCAAAGUGGGGAAUAAUCCGCCGAAAGGUGGACUAAUACCGCAUGUGGUAGUGGAAUUAGUUUUUCACUACUAAAGCUCACGGGCGCUUAGGGAAGAGCUUGCGUCCUAUCAGGUAGUUGGUGGGGUAAUGGCCUACCAAGCCUUCGACGGGUAGCUGGUCUGAGAGGAUGUCCAGCCAGACGGGGACUGAGACACGGCCCCGACUCCUACGGGAGGCAGCAGCAGGGAAUUUUGCGCAAUGGGCGAAAGCCUGACGCAGCAACACCGCGUGAGGGAAGACAGCCUUCGGGUCGUAAACCUCUUUUAUCAGGGAAGAAUAAUGACGGUACCUGAUGAAUAAGUCACGGCUAACUACGUGCCAGCAGCUGCGGUAAUACGUAGGUGGCGAGCGUUAUCCGGAUUCAUUGGGCGUAAAGAGCGCGUAGGUGGUCCUUCAAGUCAGAUGUUAAAUCUCUCGGCUUAACUGGGAGCUGUCAUCUGAUACUGCUGGACUUGAGGGUGGUAGAGGGAGGUGGAAUUCCCGGUGUAGUGGUGAAAUGCGUAGAUAUCGGGAGGAACACCAGUGGCGAAAGCGGCCUCCUAGGCCAUUCCUGACACUGAGGCGCGAAAGCGUGGGGAGCGAACAGGAUCAGAUACCCUGGUAGUCCACGCCCUAAACUGUGGAAACUAGGUACAGGGAGUAUCGACCCUUCCUGCGCCGUAGCUAACGCGUUU